UACGUAGGGUGCGAGCGUUAAUCGGAAUUACUGGGCGUAAAGCGUGCGCAGGCGGUGAUGCAAGUCAGGUGUGAAAUCCCCGGGCUUAACCUGGGAACUGCAUUUGUGACUGCAUCGCUGGAGUGCGGCAGAGGGGGAUGGAAUUCCGCGUGUAGCAGUGAAAUGCGUAGAUAUGCGGAGGAACACCGAUGGCGAAGGCAAUCCCCUGGGCCUGCACUGACGCUCAUGCACGAAAGCGUGGGGAGCAAACAGG
rnacentral:rRNA from 1 species